rnacentral:rRNA from 1 species
UACGGGGGGGGCAAGCGUUGUUCGGAAUUACUGGGCGUAAAGGGCGCGUAGGUGGCCAACUAAGUCAGACGUGAAAUCCCUCGGCUUAACCGGGGAACUGCGUCUGAUACUGGAUGGCUUGAGUUUGGGAGAGGGACGCGGAAUUCCAGGUGUGGCGGUGAAAUGCGUAGAUAUCUGGAGGAACACCGGUGGCGAAGGCGGCGUCCUGGACCAAUACUGACACUGAGGAGCGAAAGCCAGGGGAGCAAACGGG